UGCGUUUUCCAAACACCCACGGUGUCGCCGGAGGACAGCUCCUGCACAGUAACUGCGCAGUCCCGACAGUGGCUCUUUAAGGAGCCCCUGACCAGAGACCCCUGGACACUUGGAGUCCACGGAGCUCCCCACACUGACAGCACGCGGCUGGGGGUGAAAGCCGCCACAGCGGGUCUCCGGGGGUGCGAUCUCGCGGCCAGAGAGGAAGCGCAGAUAGACGCUCUAGCCUGCCUGCACGGCCUUAACUCUCACCUGCAAGCUGCACUCUGGGCAAGAGAAAGUACAACACAGUGGCAUUGAAGACAAAGAGAGAAGUGACCAGAGGGCUCCAGAAGGAUUCCAUAAGAGCAUCAGUGAUGCGAGGACAAUUCUCUGGUCUUCUGCCCCCUGUAGGUAUGGGAGCAUUUCCCAUAGUUUUCAACCAAUAUUAAAGAACAUGUUUGAGAUGCAAACUAAUUAAAGCCUAAAUGAAGUCCUG
rnacentral:lncRNA from 1 species